UACAGAGGUCUCAAGCGUUGUUCGGAUUCAUUGGGCGUAAAGGGUGCGUAGGCGGCGCGGUAAGUCGGGUGUGAAAUCUCGGGGCUUAACUCCGAAACUGCAUUCGAUACUGCCGUGCUUGAGGACUGGAGAGGAGACUGGAAUUUACGGUGUAGCGGUGAAAUGCGUAGAUAUUCGGAAGAACACCAGUGGCGAAGGCGACUUACUGGACACAUAUUGACGCUGAGGUGCGAAAGCGUGGGGAGCAAACAGG
rnacentral:rRNA from 1 species